CACUAUGCCUAGCCAUAAACAUUGAUAGUAACCUACACCUACUAUCCGCCCGGGUACUACGAGCAUCAGCUUAAAACCCAAAGGACUUGGCGGUGCUUUAGAUCCACCUAGAGGAGCCUGUUCUAGAACCGAUUACCCCCGUUCAACCUCACCUUUCCUUGUCCCUCCCGCCUAUAUACCACCGUCGUCAGCUUACCCUGUGAAGGGCUCAUAGUAAGCAAGAUUGGCAUAGCCCAAAACGUCAGGUCGAGGUGUAGCGUAUGGAAAGGGAAGAAAUGGGCUACAUUCACUAACACAGUGAACUACGAACGAUACGCUGAAACACGUAUCUGAAGGAGGAUUUAGCAGUAAGCAGAAAAUAGAGCGUUCCGCUGAAACCGGCCCUGAAGCGCGCACACACCGCCCGUCACUCUCCCCGAGCUUACAAACUCAAAUACUUAAAACCUUAAAAUUGCAAAGGGGAGGCAAGUCGUAA
rnacentral:rRNA from 1 species